GAUGAACGCUGGCGGCGUGCCUAACACAUGCAAGUCGAGCGAGAAUUUACGAAAUGAAGCUUCGGCAGAAUUUUGUAAAGGAAAGCGGCGGACGGGUGAGUAACGCGUGAGUAACCUGCCCUAUGGAGGAGGAUAACACAUCGAAAGAUGUGCUAAUACUGCAUAACAUACAUUAACCGCAUGAUUGAUGUAUCAAAGAUUUAUCGCCAUAGGAUGGACUCGCGUCUGAUUAGAUAGUUGGCGGGGUAAUGGCCCACCAAGUCGAUGAUCAGUAGCCGAACUGAGAGGUUGAUCGGCCACAUUGGGACUGAGACACGGCCCAGACUCCUACGGGAGGCAGCAGUGGGGAAUAUUGCGCAAUGGGGGAAACCCUGACGCAGCAACGCCGCGUGAAGGAUGAAGGUCUUCGGAUUGUAAACUUCUGUUCUGAGGGACGAACAAGGACGGUACCUCAGGAGGAAGGCCACGGCUAACUACGUGCCAG
rnacentral:rRNA from 1 species